rnacentral:tRNA from 1 species
GUACGUGUGACUUAGUGGUUUGAGUGCUGGACUAGUGAUCCUGAAGAACAGGGUUCAGAUCCCUGCUCAGCCA